GGGUUAGUAACACGUGGAUAACCUACCUAUAAGACUGGGAUAACUUCGGGAAACCGGAGCUAAUACCGGAUAAUAUUUUGAACCGCAUGGUUCAAAAGUGAAAGACGGUCUUGCUGUCACUUAUAGAUGGAUCCGCGCUGCAUUAGCUAGUUGGUAAGGUAACGGCUUACCAAGGCAACGAUGCAUAGCCGACCUGAGAGGGUGAUCGGCCACACUGGAACUGAGACACGGUCCAG
rnacentral:rRNA from 1 species